rnacentral:lncRNA from 1 species
CCGGGAACCCCGAACAUCCCCUUUCUCUACUCUUUCCCUUUGGAGUCUAUAGAGGGAGAAGCAGAGCCUAAGGCUUCAUCAGUUUGAAUACUGGCUGGGGCUGGGCAAGUUAGUGGCUCAAAGUGUUGAAUCUGUCCCUAAAGCAGGGACAGAAAUGGAGGCUCAGGAGGUAGAGGUGGCAGUGGGCGUGCAGGAGAAGCUGUAGGUCAGGAGGUAGAGGUGGCAGUGGGCGUGCAGGAGAACUGUAGGUCAGAGUGGAGAGGUGGCAGUGGGCGUGCAGGAGAAGCUGUAGGUCAGGAGGUAGAGGUGGCAGUGGGCGUGCAGGAGAAGGUGUAGGUCAGGGGGCAGAGGUGGCAGUGGGCGUGCAGGAGAAGCUGUAGGUCGGAGAGGGUGCAGAGUGGAGAACAGAUGAGCUGGAGUCACACCAUGCCCUAUACCCAGCCAGAGGCCGAAGUGAGCCUGUCACGGUAAUGCCACUGCCUGCUUGAUUCCCUCCCAUGCCUAGCCUGGGUUCUUCAUGAUCCCUGAGGCCCUCUUUGAUGUCAUCCCGCUGCCUCAAAACCUGUGUGUGCUGGUGGCUCCCUCUGCUUUCCUUCCAGAUGACUCCUUCGCUUCAGCUCAAAUGUCACCUUUGGCUGUUAAAAUCCUUUCCGGAGGAAGUUGUAAACAAUGCCUACCCCUCCUCCCGAGGUCUCUGAUUCCACUCCAGGGAAGAUUGCUCUGGGGGAGCCAAUGAGUUUGUUGGGAUUACUUCCAGAGCAUAGGUGAGGGGUUAGUUACUUGAAUAUGAGUGCUGCCCACCAAAAGACCGCACUGAAAAGUCUUUACCCAGCAGGGGUGAUGGU